UACAGAGGGGGCAAGCGUUGUUCGGAAUUACUGGGCGUAAAGGGCGCGUAGGCGGCCUGCUAAGUCGAACGUGAAAUCCCCGGGCUCAACCCGGGAACUGCGUCCGAGACUGGCAGGCUCGAAUCCGGGAGAGGGAUGUGGAAUUCCAGGUGUAGCGGUGAAAUGCGUAGAUAUCUGGAGGAACACCGGUGGCGAAGGCGGCAUCCUGGACCGACACUGACGCUGAGGCGCGAAAGCUAGGGUAGCAAACGGG
rnacentral:rRNA from 1 species